UUCUCGUUCUUUCUCUUCUUCUUCGUUCUAUUUUUUAUUUUGUUCUUCGUUUCUCUCUGUUGAUUUUCUACUCAAACGAUUGAGUUAAGUUCUGAGCAAUUCUUAAGAAGCUUGUUAACCUGAUUGAUGAAGAAAAGGGAGUUGUUUUUUAAUUGAUGAUGUGAAGCGGUUCUGUUGGUUAGACAGAAAGUUAGGGUUCAGAUUUGAUGUUGAGUUUAUUUAGGAAUUAAUAAGUUAAUAGGGAUGUUAUCAGCUGAAGAUUAAUGGGUUAUCGUUUGAUUGACGAGGUGUUGUGGUUUCGAAGAUUGAUUUGAGAUUAAAAGAUAUUAGGGUUUCUGUUCUUCCCCAAAUUGAAGAAUUUAAGGUUCCUGAGUUAACUGAAUUGGAGAUUGAGGUUGAAUAUUAGCUUUAAAUUGACAGUUAGGGUUUGGAUCUCUUUUAUGGGAGAUUUGGGAUUGAUCUGAGAGCAAAGAAUAGGUUGAAUUCAAUCUGGUUAGAAGCGGCUUUGAGGUAAUUUCUCUCAGUUGAUUAGUAAAUUUAUUUACUUUAUAGAUUGAGUUUAUGCAGUUUGUAAUUGAACUAAGGAUUAUGUUGAAUAUUGAAUGGAAUUUGGUUGUAGUUAAAUUGUAUUGAAUUACAAAUAGUAACAUGUUAGAAACUAUUUGUGGUUUGCUGAUGAUUGAAAACAAGUUAUAGAUGAAUGCGAUGUGUAAUGAUAGUGAUUCUGUAAUUGUUGGUGGGGUUAAGGGAUUGUAGUGAAAAACUGGAUGUGUGUACUGAACUAGUUGAAAUAUUAGAAUUGUAAUUGAUAAGAUUGUGUUAUCCUGAGUUGAAAUUGGUAUUGCUGUUGAGAUUCAUGGUGUCUGUAAAAAGUUGUUUGUGUUGAUGAUUGUUUUAUUUGAAGUGCAGAGUUACUUGAGAUGAACUUGUUGAGAAUUGAACAAAUGAUGAGUUACAGAGAGGUAGUUUGAAUACUGUAUUUGUGUGUGUUGAUGUUAGAGUUAUAGAACUGGCAGAGACUCAACUGGUUCUGUGAUUGUGAAUGAGUUUGCAGUGGAGGUUGAGCUAUUGAUAUUUGAAGAUAAGUGAGGUUUAGUGGUUAGUGACUGAAGUUCCGGAAAGAGGUUAUGGUGAAUGUGUUGAGAUGAUCAGUGGAAGCUUGUAACUGCAAUUGCAGGUAAACUGUAUUGGAAUUUGAAGUUUAUUUGAAUGGUUCUACUGAUGUUUUAUUAGUUUGAAAUUAAAGUUGAGUUAGAGUUAUAAAUUCUAGAGUGUUGGUGUUGCACAGUGAUUGUGCAUUAGCAUUCCUUGGCAUGAGCAAUGGCUCUGGCCUGUGCAAGUGUUUUGGCCUUGUGCCAUUCAGUCUAGUCAGAACCUGACUUAGCUGACUCAGUGUCUGACUGAGUUGAGUCGUUAUGACUCGCUAGUUUCCCUGUCCUGACCUGAGUAGACUCAGUUGACCGAGUUAACCCUUUGACCCUUGACCCUGGAUUUGACCUCGGACGGACGUUGACUGUUAAUUGACCCGUUUGACCGUUAGAUUGACCCAGUUGGGUCAGACCUUGUGAUAAUGGGCCGAGUCUAGUGUACUUGGGCUUAGAUUUAGUAUUUCUAUGUUGACUCAGAUGGAUCAGGCCUUAGGUUAAUGGGCUGUUUAGUGGACAUGGGCUUAGAGCAAUUAGAUAAACUUAUAUGAUUCUUGUAUGAGCCAUUUUGGCUGGCUUCUCAGAAUUCUUGUGUGAUUAACAGUUAGUCUUAUUAACAACGAUCGAUUCAAAGGACGAACCCGUGGAACGUGAAUCUCGAGGUAGGCGUGGCCUGUCAUCAAAAGAGUUGCAGAGAUAGACCAGAAUUGCACCGCCAAAGCUUCGAGGAGUUGAUUACGUUAUUUAGAUUGCUCCUGCUAUAAUUAUUUUGUGUUUAUAUUUGAAUCGUAAAUAACCUCACUAUUGUAUAUGUAUCAAUUGCGAGAAGUUCUUGUUUACAUGUAUUUCUGAGCGGGGCUAAUUUUGGGGUAAGUUUUUGUGACAUAUUUCUUAAUUAAAUGUUUAAGUAAAUGAAUUA